rnacentral:tRNA from 1 species
GGAGGAGUGCCAGAGCGGUUGAAUGGGACGGUCUCGAAAACCGUUGUGGGGGUGACUCCACCGAGGGUUCGAAUCCCUCCUCCUCCGCCA